UACGUAGGGGGCAAGCGUUGUCCGGAAUCAUUGGGCGUAAAGCGCGCGUAGGCGGCCCGGUAAGUCCGCUGUAAAAGUCCAGGGCUCAACCCUGGAAAGCCGGUGGAUACUGUCGGGCUAGAGUCCGGAAGAGGCGAGUGGAAUUCCGGGUGUAGUGGUGAAAUGCGUAGAGAUCCGGAGGAACCCCAGAGGCGAAGGCGGCGUCCUGGCUCGCAUCUGACGCUCAGACACGACAGCAUGGGGAGCGAACGGG
rnacentral:rRNA from 1 species